ensembl:piRNA 21ur-4528 ncRNA
AUAAAUGCAGCUUUGGAUUUC